GCCCCCGUAGCUCAGUGGAUAGAGCGCUGGCCUCCGGAGCCAGAAGCACAGGUUCGAGUCCUGUCGGGGGUACCA
rnacentral:tRNA from 1 species